rnacentral:rRNA from 1 species
AUAUCAAUAAGCGGAGGAAAAGAAACUAACAAGGAUUCCCCUAGUAACGGCGAGUGAACCGGGAUAAGCCCAAAUUGAAAAUCUCCCUCUGGAGAAUUGUAGUCUAUAGAAGUGCCCUCUGCAGCGGUGGGAGCCUAAGUUCGCUGGAAGGCGGCGUCAGAGAGGGUGAGAACCCCGUCGGCUCUUUUUCUUGCUGCCCCACGAGGUGCUUUCGGCGAGUCGGGUUGUUUGGGGAUGCAGCCCAAAAUGGGAGGUAAAUCCCUUCUAAGGCUAAAUAUUGGCGAGAGACCGAUAGCGCACAAGUA